rnacentral:sRNA from 1 species
CCCAAACCUGACUGUCCCGGGAGAAGUGGCCCUGGACGGGCAGAAGUCGCAGCCUGAAAAGACCCAGAAAGAGGAAAAGAGGAGUACCGCGCCGGAGCCUUCCGCAGCUGCCGCCUCAGUCCGAAGGAGGAAGGGAACCAACCCACUUUCUCGGCGCCGCGGCUCUUCUCUAAAAGUUGUGAAAGCAGCUGUAGACAACAAGGAAGUGAAUGAAUGUUGCUGUGCUCCAAUUGGCCCAUAGGCCGACGUUUUUGGACCCCUGGUAUAGACAACUGCCAAAUCCACCAACAAACAGUAUGAGCUUUAUUACACUACAAAGCUAGGACUGGCUAUUUUUGGUGGUCUUUGUUUUCUAGAUGAGAUGUUUUUGUCUGAGUUCAUUUAAAAUGAUUCUGCAUAAAGCACAUACUCUACUGUACAAAAUACUUUUGCUUUCAUGGUGAUGAAAACUAUGGAUUGAGGGUCAGGGGUGAUACCAUCUUUAAAGGGAUGCAGCUAAAAAGUAGGGACUACCUGCAUUUCUUAUCUAAAGAUAACCACCGUUGGCAUUUAGUGAUAUACUGGCUUUGUAUCAUGGCCAAAAGUAUCUGUAAAGAAGCUUGUGGGCAUACUUUUGAAACCUUCUGAAAAUAAAUGUAAAGCAUUUACUUCGUAUGUAAAAUUAGAAGUGUUUAUGGUUGGUUUGAAUAAUAUGAGUCAAAUUAUAAGAGCAUUAAAGUUUGAUACUGCUAUUAAAGUCUUAAUCUCUUGUA